UACGAAGGGGGCUAGCGUUGUUCGGAAUCACUGGGCGUAAAGCGCACGUAGGCGGACUUUUAAGUCAGAGGUGAAAUCCCAAGGCUCAACCUUGGAACUGCCUUUGAUACUGGGAGUCUUGAGUUCGGGAGAGGUGAGUGGAACUGCGAGUGUAGAGGUGAAAUUCGUAGAUAUUCGCAAGAACACCAGUGGCGAAGGCGGCUCACUGGCCCGAUACUGACGCUGAGGCACGAAAGCGUGGGGAGCAAACAGG
rnacentral:rRNA from 1 species